GAUGAACGCUAGCGGCAGGCCUAAUACAUGCAAGCUGAACGGUAAGAUUUGUAGCAAUACGAGUCCUAGAGUAGCGUAAGGGUGCGUAACACGUAUGCAAUCUGCCCGCAACAGGAGGAUAGCUUAGCGAAAGUUGAGAUAAGACUCCAUAAGAUCACACGAGGGCAUCUGAGGGUGAUUAAACUACAAGGGGUUGCGGAUGAGCAUGCGACUGAUUAGUUAGUUGGCGGGGUAACGGCCCGCCAAGACGAUGAUCAUUAGGGGAACUGAGAGGUUGACU
rnacentral:rRNA from 1 species